GAUGAACGCUGGCGGCGUGCCUAAUACAUGCAAGUCGAGCGAACGGACGAGAAGCUUGCUUUUCUGAUGUUAGCGGCGGACGGGUGAGUAACACGUGGAUAACCUACCUAUAAGACUGGGAUAACUUCGGGAAACCGGAGCUAAUAUCGGAUAAUAUUUUGAACCGCAUGGUUCAAAAGUGAAAGACGGUCUUGCUGUCACUUAUAGAUGGAUCCGCGCUGCAUUAGCUAGUUGGUAAGGUAACGGCUUACCAAGGCAACGAUGCAUAGCCGACCUGAGAGGGUGAUCGGCCACACUGGAACUGAGACACGGUCCAGACUCCUACGAGAGGCAGCAGUAGGGAAUCUGCCGCAAUGGGCGAAAGCCUGACGGAGCAACGCCGCGUGAGUGAUGAAGGUCUUCGGAUCGUAAAACUCUGUUAUUAGGGAAGAACAUAUGUGUAAGUAACUGUGCACAUCUUGACGGUACCUAAUCAGAAAGCCACGGCUAACUACGUG
rnacentral:rRNA from 1 species